CCUACGGGAGUCUGCAGUGAGGAAUAUUGGUCAAUGGGCGGGAGCCUGAACCAGCCAAGCCGCGUGAGGGAAGAAGGUACAGCGUAUCGUACACCUCUUUUGUCAGGGAACAAAGGCGGGGACUAGUCCCAGGAUGAGGGUACCUGAAGAAAAAGCAUCUGCUAAAUCCGUGCCAUCAGCCGCGGUAAUACGGAGGAUACGGGCGUUAUCCGGAUUUAUUGGGUUUAAAGGGUGCGCAGGCUGCCUGUUAAGUCAGCGGUAAAAGCCCGGGGAUCAACCCCGGCGAGCCGUUGAAACUGGCGGGCUGGAGUUGGAGAGAAGUACGCGGAAUGCGCGGUGUAGCGGUGAAAUGCUUAGAUAUCGCGCAGAACCCCGAUUGCGAAGGCAGCGGACCGGCUCCACACUGACGCUGAGGCACGAAAGCGUGGGUAUCGAACAGGAUUAGAUACCCGAGUAGUC
rnacentral:rRNA from 1 species